rnacentral:rRNA from 1 species
GGGUUGUGAGGUUAAGCGACUAAGCGUACACGGUGGAUGCCCUGGCAGUCAGAGGCGAUGAAGGACGUGCUAAUCUGCGAUAAGCGUCGGUAAGGUGAUAUGAACCGUUAUAACCGGCGAUUUCCGAAUGGGGAAACCCAGUGUGUUUCGACACACUAUCAUUGCGUGAAUACAUAGCGUAAUGAAGCGAACCGGGGGAACUGAAACAUCUAAGUACCCCGAGGAAAAGAAAUCAACCGAGAUUCCCCCAGUAGCGGCGAGCGAACGGGGAGCAGCCCAGAGUCUGAAUCAGCUUGUGUGUUAGUGGAACGGUCUGGAAAGUCCGACGGUACAGGGUGAUAGUCCCGUACACCAAAAUGCACAGGUUGUGAACUCGAAGAGUAGGGCGGGACACGUGGUAUCCUGUCUGAAUAUGGGGGGACCAUCCUCCAAGGCUAAAUACUCCUGACUGACCGAUAGUGAACCAGUACCGUGAGGGAAAGGCGAAAAGAACCCCGGCGAGGGGAGUGAAAAAGAACCUGAAACCGUGUACGUACAAGCAGUGGGAGCCUACUUGUUAGGUGACUGCGUACCUUUUGUAUAAUGGGUCAGCGACUUAUAUUCUGUAGCAAGGUUAACCGUAUAGGGGAGCCGAAGGGAAACCGAGUCUUAACUGGGCGUUAAGUUGCAGGGUAUAGACCCGAAACCCGGUGAUCUAGCCAUGGGCAGGUUGAAGGUUGGGUAACACUAACUGGAGGACCGAACCGACUAAUGUUGAAAAAUUAGCGGAUGACUUGUGGCUGGGGGUGAAAGGCCAAUCAAACCGGGAGAUAGCUGGUUCUCCCCGAAAGCUAUUUAGGUAGCGCCUCGUGAACUCAUCUUCGGGGGUAGAGCACUGUUUCGGCUAGGGGGUCAUCCCGACUUACCAACCCGAUGCAAACUGCGAAUACCGAAGAAUGUUAUCACGGGAGACACACGGCGGGUGCUAACGUCCGUCGUGAAGAGGGAAACAACCCAGACCGCCAGCUAAGGUCCCAAAGUCAUGGUUAAGUGGGAAACGAUGUGGGAAGGCACAGACAGCCAGGAUGUUGGCUUAGAAGCAGCCAUCAUUUAAAGAAAGCGUAAUAGCUCACUGGUCGAGUCGGCCUGCGCGGAAGAUGUAACGGGGCUAAACCAUGCACCGAAGCUGCGGCAGCGACACUAUGUGUUGUUGGGUAGGGGAGCGUUCUGUAAGCCGUUGAAGGUGGCCUGUGAGGGUUGCUGGAGGUAUCAGAAGUGCGAAUGCUGACAUAAGUAACGAUAAUGCGGGUGAAAAACCCGCACGCCGGAAGACCAAGGGUUCCUGUCCAACGUUAAUCGGGGCAGGGUGAGUCGACCCCUAAGGCGAGGCCGAAAGGCGUAGUCGAUGGGAAACAGGUUAAUAUUCCUGUACUUGGUGUUACUGCGAAGGGGGGACGGAGAAGGCUAUGUUAGCCGGGCGACGGUUGUCCCGGUUUAAGCAUGUAGGCGGAGGUUCCAGGUAAAUCCGGUACCUUUUAACGCUGAGGUGUGAUGACGAGGCACUACGGUGCUGAAGUAACAAAUGCCCUGCUUCCAGGAAAAGCCUCUAAGCAUCAGGUAACACGAAAUCGUACCCCAAACCGACACAGGUGGUCAGGUAGAGAAUACCAAGGCGCUUGAGAGAACUCGGGUGAAGGAACUAGGCAAAAUGGUGCCGUAACUUCGGGAGAAGGCACGCUGAUAUGUAGGUGAAGUGAUUUACUCAUGGAGCUGAAAUCAGUCGAAGAUACCAGCUGGCUGCAACUGUUUAUUAAAAACACAGCACUGUGCAAACACGAAAGUGGACGUAUACGGUGUGACGCCUGCCCGGUGCCGGAAGGUUAAUUGAUGGGGUUAUCCGUAAGGAGAAGCUCUUGAUCGAAGCCCCGGUAAACGGCGGCCGUAACUAUAACGGUCCUAAGGUAGCGAAAUUCCUUGUCGGGUAAGUUCCGACCUGCACGAAUGGCGUAAUGAUGGCCAGGCUGUCUCCACCCGAGACUCAGUGAAAUUGAACUCGCUGUGAAGAUGCAGUGUACCCGCGGCAAGACGGAAAGACCCCGUGAACCUUUACUAUAGCUUGACACUGAACACUGGUCCUUGAUGUGUAGGAUAGGUGGGAGGCUUUGAAGUGUGGACGCCAGUCUGCAUGGAGCCAUCCUUGAAAUACCACCCUUUAAUGGCUGGUGUUCUAACGUGGACCCGUAAUCCGGGUUGCGGACAGUGUCUGGUGGGUAGUUUGACUGGGGCGGUCUCCUCCUAAAGAGUAACGGAGGAGCACGAAGGUUAGCUAAUCCUGGUCGGACAUCAGGAGGUUAGUGCAAAGGCAUAAGCUAGCUUGACUGCGAGAGUGACGGCUCGAGCAGGUGCGAAAGCAGGUCUUAGUGAUCCGGUGGUUCUGAAUGGAAGGGCCAUCGCUCAACGGAUAAAAGGUACUCCGGGGAUAACAGGCUGAUACCGCCCAAGAGUUCAUAUCGACGGCGGUGUUUGGCACCUCGAUGUCGGCUCAUCACAUCCUGGGGCUGAAGUAGGUCCCAAGGGUAUGGCUGUUCGCCAUUUAAAGUGGUACGCGAGCUGGGUUUAGAACGUCGUGAGACAGUUCGGUCCCUAUCUGCCGUGGGCGCUGGAGAAUUGAGGGGGGCUGCUCCUAGUACGAGAGGACCGGAGUGGACGCAUCACUGGUGUUCGGGUUGUCAUGCCAAUGGCAUUGCCCGGUAGCUAAAUGCGGAAGAGAUAAGUGCUGAAAGCAUCUAAGCACGAAACUUGCCCCGAGAUGAGUUCUCCCUGAGACUUUAAGUCUCCUGAAGGAACGUUGAAGACGACGACGUUGAUAGGUCGGGUGUGUAAGUGUAGCGAUACAUUGAGCUAACCGAUACUAAUGAACCGUGAGGCUUAACCUUACAACGCCGAAG